UUGGGGUCAUAUCAUGAUGAAACACCAGUUCCCAUAUGAUCACUGGAGUUAAGCAAUGUUGCACAUAGUCAGUAUCUAGAUGAGUGAUCACAUGGGAAUAUCAGGUGCUGUAA